rnacentral:rRNA from 1 species
ACUCCUACGGGACGCAGCAGUGAGGAAUAUUGGUCAAUGGUCGGGAGACUGAACCAGCCAAGCCGCGUGAGGGAUGAAGGUACAGAGUAUCGUAAACCUCUUUUGUCAGGGAACAAAGGCGGGGACGUGUCCCCGGAUGAGUGUACCUGAAGAAAAAGCAUCGGCUAACUCCGUGCCAGCAGCCGCGGUAAUACGGAGGAUGCGAGCGUUAUCCGGAUUUACUGGGUGUAAAGGGAGCGUAGGUGGCAUGGUAAGCCAGAAGUGAAAACCCAGGGCUCAACUCUGUGGAUUGCUUUUGGAACUAU